rnacentral:rRNA from 1 species
UACGGAGGGGGCUAGCGUUGUUCGGAAUUACUGGGCGUAAAGGGCGUGUAGGCGGUUUCGUAUGUCUGGCGUGAAAGCCCCGGGCUCACCUCGGGAAGUGCGUCGGAAACUGCGAGACUAGAAUCCCGGAGAGGGAGGUGGAAUUCCAGGUGUAGCGGUGAAAUGCGUAGAUAUCUGGAAGAACACCGGUGGCGAAGGCGGCCUCCUGGACGGUGAUUGACGCUGAGACGCGAAAGCGUGGGGAGCAAACAGG